rnacentral:rRNA from 1 species
UACGUAGGGUGCGAGCGUUGUCCGGAAUUAUUGGGCGUAAAGAGCUCGUAGGCGGUCUGUCGCGUCUGCUGUGAAAACUCAGGGCUUAACCCUGAGCUUGCAGUGGAUACGGGCAGACUAGAGUGCGGUAGGGGAGACUGGAAUUCCUGGUGUAGCGGUGAAAUGCGCAGAUAUCAGGAGGAACACCGGUGGCGAAGGCGGGUCUCUGGGCCGUAACUGACGCUGAGGAGCGAAAGCAUGGGGAGCGAACAGG